AGGAGGAACAGCCCCAGUGGCGGGGCCAGCUCUGUCUGCAGGGCCUGGAGGCUCCCGGGCGGG
rnacentral:pre_miRNA from 1 species